UUCUGGGGUUGAGAAAGUGAAGUUUGGCUGCAAUAGCUCCUCAAGUUGGGUUUCAUUUUAUUUUUACCAGUGGGUAUCAUAGGCAUUUUAAGAGAACAGAAUGGUAGCAUAAUUUAACCCUGCACUGAGCAGGAACAUUGAAGAGUUGGGUGGUCGCACUGGUGUUAGCUGAAGAUGGGAAAGACUCAAGCCAUUGGGGUAAAGAUAACCAGAUUGAUCCAAUUGGCCAUGGGAGCUUAGGCCAUAGUCUUGGAAGUGAGCAGGACAAAGACCAUGUUUUAGAGAUGUGAUAACUUCCUAGGACUAAGUUUACUAAACUACACUGAAGCUAUUAUACUUUCUAGAUCAGAAAAAUUAUACACUACAGUUGAAGAGCUGAAUUCUACUAUGGAUGGAUGUUGUGAGCCCUUGCUUGGAAGCCUUCACCGUCUAGCUUCCCCAGGGUAGGAAAGGUCUCCCACAUUAUGCAAUAAUAAAAUCAGCAUCUGGGUCUUUGCAGCUGUCAGUUGUUCUUUAAACUCUAGGAUCCAUCUUUGGACCAAAAGUCUGGUCUGGGCCUAGGAUGGCAUUGGCCCUCGAUGCUAGAGUUGGCUGCAUUCUCUCCUUACCUGCAGACUAUGCACAGUUCCUGGAGCAGAGGGAGAGGUGGUGUGGCUUGCCCUGCUGAGCCUUCUCGGCAGGAAUAAUAGUAAUAAAUGCACUUUUCACACUAAAAGUUUCUUUGUUCUCCUGUUAAGCCUAGAUCUUUCCCUAGUAGAUUGCAAACUCAACAGUCUGUGUGAUCCCAAAGCCAUUCCACUGUAAAUGCCUGGCAGUAAAGAUGGCCCCAGACUGGGUUCCUGCCUGCAGUGUGUGUGGCGGUAGCCCAUGUGCCUUUACCUAAUGUCAGAUUUGCAAGCGUUUCGUCUGUCUUUAUGUUAGGGGGUCUUAGGAACUUCAGAGAGAGAACUGAUAACUGGUUUUAUGCCCACCCCCCCCCCCAGCCCUGCCAGGGACUUUGCUUGUACUUGUAAAUGGUGAGGGUUGGUGAGCUGCUGGUAUUGCUGAAGGCAGGGUGGACCCCUCACUUGCUUCCUAGUGCACUCGUUCAAUUGGAUUGGGGAGGAGACUGACUGUACUCACGGCUAACUUGAAGUAUUAAAAUGAGGCUGUACUCUACACACUUCCUAGUCACGCAGGAUCCCUGUAGCCAAAACAGUAUAUGUUCCAGCUGCAGAGAGCAGACUGCUCUCAGCUUGCCUAGCACCUUAGGGGAGGGAAGAUAAAUGGAUAGGUAAUGGGGUGGAGGAAGGAUGGGGAUUUUGUCAUCCAGGUGGCUUUAGGGUCCUAAGGAGUAGAGAAUGGCACUGGGGAGGUCUGGAUGGAUCUGGUUUGUGUAGGAGUUCCCUGUAGAUAAAUUACUGGUCCCCCAACCACUAUCCCCAGUAUGUAAUGGCUGAAUUAAUAUGUAAUCAACUGCAUUGUAUCUAAAGCCUUAGAACUAGUCAGGUGCUCCUCCCACCCAAUACCAUUUCUUACCCUCUAAUCCUACCUGAUCUUUAACAAAGCAUUAAUAAUUCUAAGGAUAAUCUCUAUUUUGUUGUGCUUUUUUGUAACUGUUUUAAAUAAAUCAAUUUGUACUGUAUAUUUGUACUUUUGUGAGAUCCUUUUUGCUGUUUUACCAUUUUAAGUCUCUGUACUUGGCUACACAGAUUGUAUUUUUAUUGUUAAUGCUCUCUUCUUAUGGAUACCUGCAUUUAACUUGUGGACUAUGUAAACACAAUAUAUAUCAAUAUCUAUAUAUCUAUAUAUCGAUCUAUAUAAACUACUAGCUUUUC
rnacentral:lncRNA from 1 species